GAUGAACGCUGGCGGCGUGCCUAAUACAUGCAAGUCGAGCGAACGGACGAGAAGCUUGCUUCUCUGAUGUUAGCGGCGGACGGGUGAGUAACACGUGGAUAACCUACCUAUAAGACUGGGAUAACUUCGGGAAACCGGAGCUAAUACCGGAUAAUAUUUUGAACCGCAUGGUUCAAAAGUGAAAGACGGGCUUGCUGUCACUUAUAGAUGGAUCCGCGCUGCAUUAGCUAGUUGGGAAGGUAACGGCUUACCAAGGCAACGAUGCAUAGCCGACCUGAGAGGGUGAUCGGCCCCACUGGAACGGAGCCGAGGUACAGACUACUAAGGGAGGCAGGAGAAGGGAAUCUUCCGCAAGGGGCGAGAGCCGGACGGGGAAAAGCCGAGUGAGUGAUGAAGGUCUUCGGAUCGGAAAACUCUAUUAUUAGGGAAGAACAUAUGUGUAAGUAACUGUGCACAUCUUGACGGUACCUAAUCAGAAAGCCACGGCUAACUACGUG
rnacentral:rRNA from 1 species